GACGAACGCUGGCGGCGUGCUUAACACAUGCAAGUCGUGCGAGAAAGCUCCUUCGGGAGUGAGUAGAGCGGCGGACGGGUGAGUAAUGCGUGAAUAACCUGCCCACAGGACUGGGAUAACUUCGGGAAACUGGAGCUAAUACCGGAUAAGACCACGAUCUCUACGGAUUUCGGGGUAAAAGGUGGCUGCUUGCGGCUAUCACCUAUUGAUGGGUUCACGUUCCAUCAGGUUGUUGGUGAGGUAAAGGCUCACCAAGCCUAAGACGGAUAGUUGGCCUUAGCGGGUGGCCAACCACACGGGGACUGAGACACGGCCCCGACUCCUACGGGAGGCAGCAGUGAGGAAUAUUGGGCAAUGGGCGCAAGCCUGACCCAGCGACGUCGCGUGGGGGACGAAGGCCCUCGGGUCGUAAACCCUUGUCAUAGGGGAAGAUGGGUAUAUGUGCUAAUAACACAUAUACUUGACGGUACCCUAAGAGGAAGCCCCGGCUAACUCCGUG
rnacentral:rRNA from 1 species